GACGAACGCUGGUGGCGUGCUUAACACAUGCAAGUCGAACGGAAAGGCCCUGCUUUUGUGGGGUGCUCGAGUGGCGAACGGGUGAGUAACACGUGAGUAACCUGCCCUUGACUUUGGGAUAACUUCAGGAAACUGGGGCUAAUACCGGAUAGGAGCUCCUGCUGCAUGGUGGGGGUUGGAAAGUUUCGGCGGUUGGGGAUGGACUCGCGGCUUAUCAGCUUGUUGGUGGGGUAGUGGCUUACCAAGGCUUUGACGGGUAGCCGGCCUGAGAGGGUGACCGGCCACAUUGGGACUGAGAUACGGCCCAGACUCCUACGGGAGGCAGCAGUGGGGAAUAUUGCACAAUGGGCGGAAGCCUGAUGCAGCAACGCCGCGUGCGGGAUGACGGCCUUCGGGUUGUAAACCGCUUUCGCCUGUGACGAAGCGUGAGUGACGGUAAUGGGUAAAGAAGCACCGGCUAACUACGUGCCAGCAGCCGCGGUGAUACGUAGGGUGCGAGCGUUGUCCGGAUUUAUUGGGCGUAAAGGGCUCGUAGGUGGUUGAUCGCGUCGGAAGUGUAAUCUUGGGGCUUAACCCUGAGCGUGCUUUCGAUACGGGUUGACUUGAGGAAGGUAGGGGAGAAUGGAAUUCCUGGUGGAGCGGUGGAAUGCGCAGAUAUCAGGAGGAACACCAGUGGCGAAGGCGGUUCUCUGGGCCUUUCCUGACGCUGAGGAGCGAAAGCGUGGGGAGCGAACAGGCUUAGAUACCCUGGUAGUCCACGCUGUAAACGGUGGGUACUAGGUGUGGGGUCCAUUCCACGGGUUCCGUGCCGUAGCUAACGCUUUAAGUACCCCGCCUGGGGAGUACGGCCGCAAGGCUAAAACUCAAAGGAAUUGACGGGGCCCCGCACAAGCGGCGGAGCAUGCGGAUUAAUUCGAUGCAACGCGUAGAACCUUACCUGGGUUUGACAUGGAUCGGGAGUGCUCAGAGAUGGGUGUGCCUCUUUUGGGGUCGGUUCACAGGUGGUGCAUGGCUGUCGUCAGCUCGUGUCGUGAGAUGUUGGGUUAAGUCCCGCAACGAGCGCAACCCUUGUUCACUGUUGCCAGCACGUUAUGGUGGGGACUCAGUGGAGACCGCCGGGGUCAACUCGGAGGAAGGUGGGGAUGACGCCAAGUCAUCAUGCCCCUUAUGUCCAGGGCUUCACGCAUGCUACAAUGGCUGGUACAGAGAGUGGCGAGCCUGUGAGGGUGAGCGAAUCUCGGAAAGCCGGUCUCAGUUCGGAUUGGGGUCUGCAACUCGACCUCAUGAAGUCGGAGUCGCUAGUAAUCGCAGAUCAGCAACGCUGCGGUGAAUACGUUCCCGGG
rnacentral:rRNA from 1 species